UUUUUUGCAGGUUAUAAUUAACCUUGGGCUUCUACCUAGGGAAGUUUUUACAGUGUGCACUUUGGGUUCGGUUCUCUUGUGAAAAAACAGUUCAGUAUUCUGCAUUUUUCUCCUGAUAAUUGAAUUCAGCUACUGAAGUAACAUCAGUGUGAGCUAAUUAGGUAGGACUGCAUACAGUGACCUCGAAGAGAUAUAGACCUAUAUAUGUGAAGAAUUUAUAAAGUGAGAACUAGUGGCUGUGCAUGCAACUGUCACCCACUGGUCAAUGUUCCAACUAUCACUCUACAUUCUCAGCUUACUCUGGCCUGACCUCUCUAUGAUCAUGUUCAUUCUGAACAUAUAUGCUCCGUAGUAUGUUCCAAUCAACAGUUCAACACGUGUAGUACUCCGCCUCAAAAUAAGUGACUCAAGUUUGUACUAAUUUUGUAUGGAGGAAGUACCUCACUACUGGAUCAAUUAAUCUGGAAAAAUUUCAGGUUGCCAAGUCCUUUCAAGAACACUACAACUCACCGGAAAAAGGCAAUCAUUACCAUGUCCAAUUCUCGCUAAAUACUGACCAUUAAGAAGGCCACCAGAUAAAAAGGCAAAUUUAGUUCUUCAGUUAAGGAAAUAUAGUGACAUGAGGCAUAUCGAUUGCUAACAAUUUGAUACAGAGAAGACCACUAGAUAAUUUAAAUAAAGCAAAAUCAAUACCUGAGACAACGAAAAUUCACACACGAGUCUGUUCAGUCGGCACAUAUUUCAAAAGCAGAGCAAAAUUAAUUUCUAAUUUCAGCAUCAAUACAGCAUUAGUCACUUCAGCCCAAAAGAUACCAAGACAAGCAAUAGAGCUCAUGCAGCCACAUAACAGUCACAGCUUCCAAUCAUAAUUUGUAUACAUCAAUGCAAAAGGAAGAAGUGGCCAGCAGGAUCAUAAGCGAUUCAAUUCAUAGAUACUGGAUAUACAACAUCUAGGCCGUUAAGAAGCAUCACCUCACUCAACAGGCGUCAGAUGAAAGGCGGAGCGUUCAUAGCAUAACCUUCUAGAGCCGGAAAGAAGGUAUGCUUAACAAGACUCUGCUUGAGCCGAGCUCCAGGCAUACAUAAUCUUCGGCGACCACAACGGAAACUGGCAAUCAAUUUGCCAUCACAAUCAACAUGAAGCAGCCACCCAUAACCACAAACCAGCAAGAGCACGCCACCAUCCACCAAAACAACGUCCACAUUCCGAUGGUCGUCACAUGCUCCAAACAUCCCCUUGAACUCCGCAACCGGCAAUUCGAUUCGGUAUUUCAAUUCCCAAACCUCGUUCUCGUAGUUUUGCAGCACCCAUAUAUCAACAUAUUUCGUGGCGUUGCUCUGGCAAUAGAAGCCAAGCGUGUCACUCAUCUCGAAGUAUACGAGUUGAUGGGAACAAACGGAGCACGCAUCGUUCGGAACGACUCCGCUAUGGUGUCGAACACUAUUACCACCGGUUCGUUGUCACUCUCAUAGCGCUUCGGAUGCCAGUGCAGGCUAUCAUGCAGCCGGGCAGGCAAGUUGAGGAGGUACGCCGACAAUGUUUCCGGCCACGCGAUGGACCUCGGCGACCGGUCGGAGCCCAACGAAAGGAUAUAGCAGCAAGUUUGGUGUUUGGGUAAGCCCUUGAUGAAGCUCCUUCGCUGCAGUAAGAGGCGGUACUCGCCGGUAGGCUGGUGCAGGUACAUCCCCAAGGUCUUGAGGAAGUUCCAUGGCGGCAGCCUGAGGUAGGCAUGCUCACGCGUGGCCGGAUUGCAGACGGAGAAGGUUCGAGGGAGAGUCGCGUGGUUGAACUGGGAGAGGACGAGGAGGCCGUCGCAGGAGGCCUCCAGAUCGAAGCCCUUGUCAAACCGGGCGACGGUGUGGAGCUGGGCGUCGGCGACGGCCCGGUGGUCGAAGGCGAGGAUACUAUUGUACUUGACGCCGAGGCCGUCGCCGGGGAAGAUGGGGAGGGCGGGCUGGCGGGCAUGGUGCGCCAGGAGGAAGCGGCGGGUGGAGGUGACGAGGCGCCAGGCCCGGCGGACGGCGCGGCAGCGGAAGAGGGUUUUCUGGUCCAGGUGGACGAGGAUCUCCCAGAUGAUGAUCUCGUCUGGGAGGAAAGGCGCCGCUCCUCCGGCUGCUGCCUCUUCAGCCAUGGUCGCCGGCUGGGAGCUCUUCCUGGAGGUGUGCCGGUGCCUGCCUGCCUGGUGGCGGCGGAGGGGAGGCAGCAAUAGUAUGGUACGUAGAUCUUUCAGGUGGUAGAAACGAAAUUGAGAUGGCCUCGUCUGCAGGUUCCAAACCCUACAAUAGAUCUUUUUGUAAGAAAAAAAAACAAAUAUUUCACUGACAGAAAACAUGCACAUAAUUCAUGUUCAAAGGUUCAGAACUUCAGGCAAAAAAAAAAGGAGUGUGCUUAAUUAUUUUGUAAGAACCCAAGCAUAUCGUGGACUGAGGAUGGUAACUAGACUUAGGUUGUGUGAACAAUUGACUGAUCAGCAGGCAGCCCUCCUAAAUUGUAAGGGACACAAUUCUUACCAGGGACUAUAUAAAUAUAAUCUACAUUACGUACCUCGCUGGAGAUUGUCAACUUGAGUUUAUUUACAAAUGUACUCCUUCUCCCUCUGUAAAGAAAUAUAAAACCGUUUAUAGAUCACUAAAGGGAGUAGGUAAGGAUGGUAUUAAGAGAAGAAAGUAGGGAAGCAGAAAGUGACAUUGCUCACAGUUGAGGAGCAUGCAGAAGCACAUGUACAAGUCUGGCGGUGGCAAGUUGUCUAGGCAAAAAAACAUAAGGCCAAGAAACUCCCUGCUGCUUCGUGUUCUCCACUGCAUAUGCUGCAUCCGAUGAAGUUUCGGCGUUCCACCAAUGCCAUUGAUACCCGAGCAAACAUGCUGCGAAUCACAUCUCAACAGACACCACUUUCAUCUAUCAGCUGCUGGUCAGUCAGUGACUGUGUAUCAUCUCGCAUGCAUGCAAUGAAAUCAAGACCUGGAAGAUCUAUAUGUAUGGCACCGGCUGAUGGCAGAGCUAUAAAGGCAACAAGGCCUCUCAUGCUCCAAACAGACACUGCUACAACAGAGAACACUUGCAGCGCAACAUCACAUUAUAACAGGUAAUAACAGGGCAUUUACUAAAUUUUUGCAGAACAAGAGCAAUCGACGACGGAACAUCAAGGGUUGAUAUAUACCAUUAUUACAAAACUAGGGCAAAGGUUGCUCCCAUAUAAGCUAGUACUCUGUGACAACUGAACAUUACUUGUCCAUUAAUCAAUCACAGCCAUAAUAAGAGGAAACAGAAAAACGCGGCAACUUGAUAUGUGAGACAGAAGAAGAACCAGCAGUCGGGCAUUUUGUCCACCUCGAUGAUUAUUCCAGUGUACAGACGGGAGGGUUCCUGGUGGCAUCUCUCGAGAAACUACUACCAUGGAGGCACUUAGAACAGAUCAAAGUACACCAUCGUGUCCUUGGCCAUGACUAGCAAGAGCAGCUUGAAGUAUAUCAAGGCCCACUUCCUGGUGAUGUCGUGGUGGACGUAGUCCAGGAGGAUCUCCUUGUGGAACAUGUAGACCUGAUGGUAUACCGACGCGAUCAGGAGAGAAGUGCUGAUGCUGUUCUUCGACACCAGGAGCAGAGUCGGGAUCAUGUAGAACGUGACUUUUGUCAUCAUCUCGGUCCGCCUCACUUUCAAGCUUUCAAGUGUCAAUGGACUGCUUCUGGGCUUGCUAAUGGUUGCUUCCAUGGGGCUGAAUGCUGCGACCUUCGCUGAGGCUCCCUCCUGUGAUUUCAGUGCAUCGGAUUGUACCAUCCCAGCGAUUGUCUUUGAGGUCUACAAGCAUAGGAAAGUUUCAAUUGCAAGCUUCUAGCAACGAAUGCUGGUAAGUGAGAAAACAAACUGAUGAAACACAGGUCUCAUAAAACUGGCACCAGGAAUACAGCCGCACCUGCUGAUCAGAAGAUCCAUUGGAGGCUCCAGUAGAAAACCAGCGAGGC
rnacentral:lncRNA from 1 species